CAGAAGGACUGUGAAAGUCAAUGGAGGCUUUCCCUUCAAAGCGUCGAUGUGCAGCUGAUUUAUCUCCCCUCACAAAUCCAUACCACCCCACUGAAAAGGGUGGUUGGAAGGUCAGCUCCUCUUUCCCUCCAAGGAUACCAGUGGAUUGAUGCUGGACAUUUCUCAUUGUUAAUGCCUCCUCCUGUGCCGCAUGAUCAACUACAGCCUUUGAUGAAAGUUUGAUCCUGUGGCAAAAGUAAAAGGGUUCAAAAGAGAAAAUGUAUAGGGAAUCUCCUUCUUCUAUUCCUGGUGCUCCAGUGACAACACAGAUGACAGAGAUGACUCAGAGGUGUCUCCCAUCCAUCGACAGAGACUCCAGGGAAACCCCACCCCCCACCUUGGACUAGAAAUGAAGCAUCAUGGGAAAGAUGACUCAGUCCAGCAGCUUGACAUGCACAAUGCGAGAGACUCCACCCUGACCUGUUGGGUGUAGUGAUGCAGAAAUGCAGUGUGUUUGACGAGGAGCUGUCAAACGCACGCCCUUUAGCUGAGCGGUGACAGAAUAGAUUUGACCGGAUUUAGUCCCCAGACGACAGCCUGCAAAUUAGAUAAAUGGAUGCAAAGAUGGCACUGUUGUUUAACCUCAUUUGCAGUUGGAGCUGAAACCACAGAGGAGGAGGAGACGGAGAGUGAUGUCAAGUAUGCAGAAGAAGAAAACAUGAGUAUAACAUCAUAGUUCUCUCCUCUUUAAAAACACAGCAUUAAAAAAAAUGAGAUUAUUUUGUGAAAUAGCAAUUUGUAUUUCUUUUCCCUGAUUUAUUUCUUCUUUUAUAUGACUCCCUUCAGGCGUAGUCACACUGGCAUACACAGACGUGUGUAUAUUCUAUGUUCAUCUAUGCCGGAUGUUCCUUUAUUUCUGUUCUGUGACUGUU